UACGGCGGGGGCUAGCGUUGUUCGGAAUUACUGGGCGUAAAGCGCACGUAGGCGGCUUUGCAAGGUAGAGGUGAAAGCCCGGGGCUCAACUCCGGAAUUGCCUUUAAAACUGCAUCGCUAGAAUUGUGGAGAGGUAAGUGGAAUUCCGAGUGUAGAGGUGAAAUUCGUAGAUAUUCGCAAGAACACCAGUGGCGAAGGCGGCUCACUGGCCCGGUACUGACGCUGAGGUGCGAAAGCGUGGGGAGCAAACAGG
rnacentral:rRNA from 1 species